AAAUAAGAAGCAAUUAUUGCAUUCAGUUUCGACCUGAAAUAUGGUGGAAUCACCCUUAUUUA
rnacentral:tRNA from 2 species